UGCCCUAUAAUGGGGAGGAGGAAUUUGUAAAGUCCCCUUCCAAGCAGAAAGACUGGGCAUCAAGUGUGGGAUGGUGUUGCUAUCCCAAAGUCAAAUCUCUGACUCAUAAUUGUUCCUUUUUGAAAGAUCUUCAGGGCUAGAAAUGGAGAAGAUACUGAGCAAUAGAAUGUCCACCAAAGUGCCCAGGUCACAGGGAGGCCCCAAGGACUGCCAUUAUUACCAAAGCUAUGGAACACUCAAAAAAAGUGAGGUAACAUGACUGCUCUCUGAAAGACCCACCAAGCAGCUGAAAGAGUCAGAUGCAGAUAUUUGCACUCAACCAUUGAACAGAAGCCGCUGAUCCCUGUGGUUGAAUGAGGGAAAAGCUGGAAGAAGCCGAGGAGGAUGGCAAAUCUGUAGGAGGAACAGCAGUCUCAAUUAACCUGACCCCCCCCAGAGAUCUCUUCAAUCAGGCAGCAUCCACCACCUGAUAUGAGGCCUCCAACACAUAUACAGUAGAAGACUGCCAGGUCUGUGUUCAAUCAGAGAAAAUGCACCUAGCCCUCAAGACACUGGAGGCCCCAGGGAGCUGUGAAGAAAGGAGUGGGAUGGAGAGCAAAGUGUGUCAGUCUCUUGUUACACCUUGAAGACUCCUGAUCUGCAGUACAUAGCAUUAUAUCGAAGAUGGAUCGUGGAAGACAGGUGAGACAGCAAAAAGGAACCAAGGCUUCUCUGUCUUUGUGGAAGUCCUAACAGGUGACAAUUCUCUCCCACUCCUGAGUAACCUCAUCAGGCAACCUUCAUUGGCACAUGGUGAUGGUGUGGCAAGAUACAGUUGGCCAAAGAGUUAGGGGCUUGGGAUUGGCUCAAACACUGUAUAUAAACUUAUACACUGGGCAAUAAACUAAGGUCUGUACCUUGAUUCUUUUCUCU